GAAAUAGUUCCUGAAACCGUGCGCUUACAAGCGGUCGGAGCCCGCAAGGGUGACGGCGUGCCUUUUGCAUAAUGAGCCUACGAGUUACUCCUCACUGGCAAGGUUAAGGUCUUCAGUACCGGAGCCGCAGCGAAAGCAAGUUCUAACAGAGCGAAUUAGUCAGUGGGGGUAGACGCGAAACUUUGUGAUCUAUCCAUGGGCAGGGUGAAGGUUAGGUAAAACUAACUGGAGGCCCGAACUCAUUAGCGUUGAAAAGCUAUGGGAUGACCUGUGGAUAGGGGU
rnacentral:rRNA from 1 species